rnacentral:lncRNA from 1 species
CAGUAUGUCUGGGGCCUGAGAUUCUGCAUUUCUAACAAGCUCCUGGGUGAUGCCAGUGGUGGGGUUCUGGAACCGCCCUUGAGUAGCACCGUAAUGCUUGCUAAAGAAUCAUAGUUGUCUGUAGUUUUCCCAGCAGCCUCUAGAUGUCCCCGUCAUCCAUGAGAUACUGCUUCCAGAACUUUAAAACGAGCACAGCCUCCAAGGCCUGAGACGGAAAGGAGUAUUUAUUGAAAUACUCAAGAGACGUAUCUAGAAACUGGUGUUUGGAUUUAUUGUUUCUACACGGGACUGACUCUUUGGUGAAAAAGUGUUUACCUCUUUUUUUUUUUUUUUUGGAAAAAAACGGCCAGGCGCAGUGGCUCACGCCUGUAAUCCCAACACUUUGGGAGGCUAAGGCAGGCAGGCAGAUCACCUGAGGCCAGGAGUUCGAGACCAGCCUGGCCAACAUGGCGAAACCCCGUCUCUACUAAAAAUACAAAAAAAAAAAAAAAGCGGGGGCGUGGUGGUGAACGCCUGUAAUCCCAGCUACUUGGGAGGCUGAGGGGGAAGAAUCGCUUGAACCGGGGAGGCGGAGGUUGCAGUGAGCCGAGAUUGCACCACUGCACUCCAGCCUGGGCGACAGAGCAAGACUCCGUCUCUAAAUAAAUAAAUAAAUAAAUAAAUAAAUAAUAAAAAUGUCUUGAAAUCAAGUUGGUUGUCGAAGAACUUCCCAGCUAACCUACUUUAUUUACAAUGGGAUGCUAAAUCCAAGUCAGAACAUCUCAGAAAUGAGCAGGUAGCCCUACAUAAAAGUUCCAAGUACAGAUAAUUCUUUCCACAACAUCUUAAAACUUGGAUUGUUUUAAUAAACUAUUGUUACUAUUAAUUUUUUCACCAUAAAUUCACUUAUAAACCACC